GACGUAGGGCGCGAGCGUUGUCCGGAUUUAUUGGGCGUAAAGAGCUCGUAGGCGGCUUGUCGCGUCGAAUGUGAAAACUCGGGGCUCAACUCCGAGCUUGCAUUCGAUACGGGCAGACUUGAGUUCGGUAGGGGAGACUGGAAUUCCUGGUGUAGCGGUGAAAUGCGCAGAUAUCAGGAGGAACACCGGUGGCGAAGGCGGGUCUCUGGGCCGAUACUGACGCUGAGGAGCGAAAGCGUGGGGAGCGAACAGG
rnacentral:rRNA from 1 species